AACAUAAUCACAGCUAAAUCCAAAGGCCACUUCUCCAUACUAAUUCUUCUUGACUUCUCUGCUGCCUUUGAUACCGUUGAUCAUGCUCUCCUUCUUCAAACUCUUCAAUCGCUCGGUCUCUGUGACUGUCCUCUCGUGGUUUUCCUCUUAUCUCUCCCAACGCUCAUUCAGUGUCUCCUUUUCUAGUGACACCUCCUCCCCUCAUCCUGUCUCGGUUGGAGUCCCC